UACGGAGGGGGCUAGCGUUGUUCGGAAUUACUGGGCGUAAAGCGCACGUAGGCGGCUUUUUAAGUCAGAGGUGAAAGCCCGGGGCUCAACCCCGGAACUGCCUUUGAGACUGGAAGGCUUGAAUCACGGAGAGGUGGGUGGAAUUCCGAGUGUAGAGGUGAAAUUCGUAGAUAUUCGGAAGAACACCAGUGGCGAAGGCGGCCCACUGGACGUGUAUUGACGCUGAGGUGCGAAAGCGUGGGGAGCAAACAGG
rnacentral:rRNA from 1 species